rfam:TPA: Bos taurus chromosome 14, whole genome shotgun sequence.
UCCCCGAUGGCUCAGUGGUAAAGAAUCUGCCUGCAGUGCAGGAGAUGUGGGUUUGAUCCCCAGGUGGGGAA